AGAAUCCUGAUGAUGCUGCAC
rnacentral:miRNA from 1 species